GACGAACGCUGGCGGCGUGCUUAACACAUGCAAGUCGAACGGAAAGGCCCUGCUUUUGUGGGGUGCUCGAGUGGCGAACGGGUGAGUAACACGUGAGUAACCUGCCCUUGACUUUGGGAUAACUUCAGGUAACUGGGGCUAAUAUCGGAUAGGAGCUGCUGCUGCAUGGUAGGGGUUGGAAAGUUUCGGCGGUCGUGGAUGGACUGGCGGCUUAUCAGCUUGCUGGUGGGGUAGUGGCUUACCAAGGCUGUGACGGGUAGCCGGCCUGAGAGGGUGAACGGCCACAUGGGGACUGAGAGACGGACCAGACUGCUACGGGAGGCAGCAGUGGGGAAUAUGGCACAAUGGGCGGAAGCCUGAUGAAGAAACGCCGCGUGCGGGAUGACGGCCUUCGGGGUGUAAACCGCUGUAGCCUGUGACGAAGCGUGAGUGACGGUAAUGGGUAAAGAAGCACCGGCUAACUACGUG
rnacentral:rRNA from 1 species